AUCUUGAAAAGCCUGGGAGAGAGGGUUGGCCAAGACUUUCUCCUGAGGAGUUACUCAUCUUUUCCUCUCCUGUAAGAGUGUUGCAAUCAGCAAAUAUAUGAGAGGAUCCUAUCCUGAUGAAACCACAGGCACCAUGAGAGGAAAAGAAGAAUAAGAAGAGGGCCUAAAAGGGAAGUGACAUAAAAUGGGAUGGAAGAAAGU
rnacentral:lncRNA from 1 species